UGAGGCCCGCCCUUCGUGACGCCGAGGGGAGGAAGCGGGGCGGGCCGGGAGCGGGGCGGCCAUGGGGGGAAGGAUUGAGUGCGUGUUCUUCAGCGAGUUCCACCCCACGCUGGGGCCCAAGAUCACCUACCAGGUUCCCGAGGAUUUCAUCUCCCGGGAGCUGUUCGACACGGUGCAGGUGUUCGUCAUCACCAAGCCCGAGCUGCAGAACAAGCUGAUCACCGUGACGGCCAUGGAGAAGAAGCUGAUCGGCUGCCCCGUCUGCAUCGAGCACAAGAAGUACAGCCGCAACGCGCUGCUCUUCAACCUCGGCUUCGUCUGCGACGCCCGAGCCAAGGCCUGCGCCCUGGAGCCCAUCGUCAAGAAGCUGGCCGGCUACCUCACCACCCUGGAGCUGGAAAGCGGCUUCAUCUCCAACGAGGAGAGCAAACAGAAGCUGGUGCCCAUCAUGACCAUCCUGCUGGAGGAGCUGAACGCCAAAGGAAAGUGCACCCUGCCCAUAGAUGAGUCGAACACCAUCCACCUGAAGGUGAUCGAGCAGCGGCCGGACCCCCCCAUUGUGCAGGAGUAUGACGUGCCCGUCUUCACCCAGGAUAAGGACGACUUCUUCAACUCCCAGUGGGACCUCACCACGCAGCAGAUCCUGCCCUACAUCGACGGGUUUCGGCACGUCCAGAAGAUUUCUGCUGAAGCCGACGUGGAGCUGAACCUGGUGCGCAUCGCUGUGCAGAACCUGCUGUACUACGGGGUCGUCACGCUCGUCUCCAUUCUCCAGUACUCCAACGUCUACUGCACCACGCCGAAGGUCCAGGACCUGGUGGACGACAAGUGCCUCCAGGAGGAGUGUCUGUCCUACGUCACCAAGCCAGGGCACAAACGAGCCAGCCUCAGGGAUGUUUUCCAGCUGUACUGCGGCCUCAGCCCUGGCACGACGGUGCGAGACCUCAUCUCCCGCUACACCCUGCAGCUGCAGCGGGUGGACGAGAGGAGGCUCAUCCAGUUCGGUUUGAUGAAGGGGCUCAUCCGGCGGCUGCAGAAAUACCCCGUCAAGGUGGCCCGGGAUGAGCGCAGCCACCCGGCACGGCUCUACACGGGCUGCCACAGCUACGACGAGAUCUGCUGCAAGACGGGUAUGAGCUACAAGGAGCUGGAUGAGCGCCUGGAGAACGACCCCAACAUCAUCGUGUGCUGGAAGUGACGGAGCCGGGCCGGCCGGGGCGUGCGCCGUGUGUGUCCCCAAGUUGUCCCCCCUUGUCCCAGUGCCCCCUGUGUCCCCCAGUGCCCCCUGUUGUGUCCCCACACGGUGCUGGGCGCCCCCAGGGCGCAGCGAAGGCCCCAGCUGCCAUCAUGGCUGCCGUUGCCAUAGCAACAACGACAGACGCCAUGGCCGCCGCGGGGCUGCUGCUGCCGGCCGAGGUCGAGGCGCUGGUGCAGGCCCUGAGGGGCACCGAGCUGCGGGAUGCCGGCGGGCAGGGGUGGCUUCGGCAGCACGAGAGCGUGGAGAAGCUCAACAUGCACGCCAUCCUCAGCGCCGCCGCCGGCCAGGAGCAGCUCCUCACCGAGCUGCUCGUCAGCCAUGCCAAGGUGAGCCCCGGGUGGCCGGGGGGCACCCGGCUCUGCCCAGCCCUGUCCCUGCUCCCCCAGCUCUUGGCCCGUCCCCACUCUGUCAGGAAAGGCAGCAGCGAGCACCCCAAAAUGUCCUGUGCCUGGCUGCAGGGGCCGGGUGGUCCCUGCUGGAGGAGUGCAGGUUCUCGGGGCUUGCCCCACGCGGGUGCUGUGUGCUCCUGGUACUCCUCCCUGAGUUUCUUUGUGUAUGAGAAAAUCACAAACUGCGUGGUCAGGAGGGAUGGUGUGAGGCAGGGCGGCGGGUGGGGGCAGCAGUGAUCCCUGUGCCAGGCCCUCAGCCUCCAGCUGGGAUCGGCUUUUGGACAGCGGCCAGUUUGGGGAUAAACCGUCGAUGGCGAAGAAUCUGCUGGCAAAGAUCUUUGGUGGUUUGCCAAUGUUGCUUUUUUUAAAAAAUAAUUAAAAGCCAAGCUGUGGUAUUCC